rnacentral:rRNA from 1 species
UUCUAUGACGUUAGCGGCGGACGGGUGAGUAACACGUGGGCAACCUGCCUGUAAGACUGGGAUAACUUCGGGAAACCGAAGCUAAUACCGGAUAGGAUCUUCUCCUUCAUGGGAGAUGAUUGAAAGAUGGUUUCGGCUAUCACUUACAGAUGGGCCCGCGGUGCAUUAGCUAGUUGGUGAGGUAACGGCUCACCAAGGCCACGAUGCAUAGCCGACCUGAGAGGGUGAUCGGCCACACUGGGACUGAGACACGGCCCAGACUCCUACGGGAGGCAGCAGUAGGGAAUCUUCCGCAAUGGACGAAAGUCUGACGGAGCAACGCCGCGUGAGUGAUGAAGGCUUUCGGGUCGUAAAACUCUGUUGUUAGGGAAGAACAAGUACAAGAGUAACUGCUUGUACCUUGACGGUACCUAACCAGAAAGCCACGGCUAACUACGUGCCAGCAGCCGCGGUAAUACGUAGGUGGCAAGCGUUAUCCGGAAUUAUUGGGGCGUAAAGCGCGCGCAGGCGGUUUCUUAAGUCUGAUGUGAAAGCCCACGGCUCAACCGUG